rnacentral:rRNA from 1 species
AUUGAACGCUGGCGGCAUGCCUUACACAUGCAAGUCGAACGGCAGCACGGGAGCAAUCCUGGUGGCGAGUGGCGAACGGGUGAGUAAUAUAUCGGAACGUGCCCAGUAGUGGGGGAUAGCUGCUCGAAAGAGCAGCUAAUACCGCAUACGACCUGAGGGUGAAAGGGGGGGAUCGCAAGACAUCUCGCUAUUGGAGCGGCCGAUAUCGGAUUAGCUAGUUGGGGGGGCAAAGGCGUACCAAGGCAACGAUCUGUAGUUGGUCUGAGAGGACGACAAGCCACACUGGGACUGAGACACGGCCAAGACUCCUAAGGGAGCGAGCAGUGGGGGAUUUUGGCCAAUGGGCGCAAGCCUGAUCCAGCAAUGCCGCGUGCAGGAAGAAGGCCUUCGGGUUGUAUACUGCUUUUGUCGGGGAAGAAAUCCUCUAGGUUAAUACCCUUGGGGGGAUGACGGUACCUGAAAAAUAAGCACCGGCUAACUACGUGCCAGCAGCCGCCGUAACAC